UAUGUGGCGCCGGAGUUUGCGGAUGAGAUUAUUCAAAUUUCGGAGUCAUUUGGCAUUCCAGCGCAGAUUGUGGGACGUGUGGAGGUGGCUCCAACGAAGAAAUUGACGAUAAAAAGUACUUACGGAGAAUUUAUUUACGAAUAAGGCUUUGCUUUGUAGCAAAUCCUUUUUAUAUUUGCGACCCCAUUUAAAAGGCUUUGUAAAGGUAACGACCUGGCCUCGUGGGAUUGUUUCACUUAAAUACAUAUAAAAUGUACGCAAUCGUAGAAAUUGCCGGGCAGCAAUUUAAAGUAGAAAAAGACCGUACCGUAUAUACCCACCGUUUGGCGUAAAGCGUGCGCAGGCGGUUUGAUAAGACAGAUGUGAAAUCCCCGGGCUCAACCUGGGAACUGCGUUUGUGACUGUCAGACUCGAGUGCGGCAGAGGGGGUGGAAUUCCACGUGUAGCAGUGAAAUGCGUAGAGAUGUGGAGGAACACCGAUGGCGAAGGCAGCCCCCUGGGUCGAUACUGACGCUCAUGCACGAAAGCGUGGGUAGCAAACAGGAUUAGAUACCCUGGUAGUCCACGCCCUAAACGAUGUCAACUAGGUGUUGGGUGGGUAAAACCAUUUAGUACCGUAGCUAACGCGUGAAGUUGACCGCCUGGGGAGUACGGCCGCAAGGUUAAAACUCAAAGGAAUUGACGGGGACCCGCACAAGCGGUGGAUGAUGUGGAUUAAUUCGAUGCAACGCGAAAAACCUUACCUACCCUUGACAUGUCCAGAAGCCUGAAGAGAUUUGGGUGUGCCCGAAAGGGAACUGGAACACAGGUGCUGCAUGGCUGUCGUCAGCUCGUGUCGUGAGAUGUUGGGUUAAGUCCCGCAACGAGCGCAACCCUUGUCGUUAAUUGCCAUCAUUUAGUUGGGCACUUUAACGAGACUGCCGGUGACAAACCGGAGGAAGGUGGGGAUGACGUCAAGUCCUCAUGGCCCUUAUGGGUAGGGCUUCACACGUCAUACAAUGGUCGGUACAGAGGGUUGCCAAGCCGCGAGGUGGAGCCAA
rnacentral:rRNA from 1 species